UACGAAGGGGGCUAGCGUUGUUCGGAAUUACUGGGCGUAAAGGGCGCGUAGGCUGUGCUGUAAGUCAGGCGUGAAAGCCCCGGACUCAACCUGGGAAUUGCGCUUGAUACUGCGGCGCUGGAAGGUGGGAGAGGAUGGCGGAAUUCCCAGUGUAGAGGUGAAAUUCGUAGAUAUUGGGAAGAACACCGGUGGCGAAGGCGGCCAUCUGGCCCAUUUUUGACGCUGAGGCGCGAAAGCGUGGGGAGCAAACAGG
rnacentral:rRNA from 1 species